CCGGAGACCACCGCUAUUGGAAUACGCUUAAGCCAUGCGAGUUGAGAGGUGAAAGACCUCGGCGUACUGCUCAGUAACACGUGGAUAACCUGCCCUUGGGUGGAGGAUAACCUCGGGAAACUGAGGAUAAUACUCCAUAGGUAUAGAAUGCUGGAACGCUUCUAAACUGAAAACUCCGGUGCCCAAGGAUGGGUCUGCGGCCUAUCAGGUUGUAGUGAGUGUAAUGUACUCACUAGCCGACAACGGGUACGGGCCUUGAGAGAGGUUGCCCGGAGAUGGAUUCUGAGACAUGAAUGCAGGCCCUACGGGGCGCAGCAGGCGCGAAAACUUCGCAAUGUGGGAAACCACGACGAGGGAAUUCCAAGUGCUAUUACAUUUAUGUGAUAGCUGUUCUCUUUCCUAAAAAGAGAGGGGAGUAAGGGCUGGGUAAGACGGGUGCCAGCCGCCGCGGUAAUACCCGCAGCCCGAGUGGUGGUCGUUUUUAUUGGGACUAAAACGUCCGUAGCCGGUUUAGUAAACCCCUGGGUAAAUCGUGUAGCUUAACCCCACGAAUUCUGGGGGGACUGCUAGACUUGGGACCGGGAGAGGUUGGAGGUACUCCUGGGGUAGGGGUGAAAUCCUGUAAUCCUGGGGGGACCACCAGUGGCGAAGGCGACCGACUGGAACGGCUCCGACGGUAAGGGACGAAACCCUAGGGCGCAAACGGGAUUAGAUACCCCGGUAGUCUAGGGCGUAAACGCUGCAGGUUUGGUGUCGGGUGUCCUACGAGGGCAUCCGGUGCCGGAGAGAAGUUGUUAAACCUGCUUCCUGGGGAUUACGGCCGCAAGACUGGAACUUAAAGGAAUUGGCGGGGGAGCACCGCAACGGGUGGAGCGUGCGGUUUAAUUGGAUUCAACGCCGGAAAACUCACCGGGAGCGACUGGUACAUGAAAGUCAGCCUAACGAGCUUACUGGAUUAUCAGAGAGGUGGUGCAUGGCCGUCGUCAGUUCGUACCGCAAGGCGUUCUGUUAAGUCAGAUAACGAACGAGACCCCUGCCUCUAAUUGCAAAACACCAGUCCGCUGGUGAUGCACAUCAGAGGGACCGCUGGCGCUAAGUCAGAGGAAGGAGAGGGCGACGGUAGGUCAGUAUGCCCCGAAUCCCCUGGGCUACACGCGGGUCACAAUGUGCAGGACAAUGGGAUGCAACCCCGUGAGGGGAAGCCAAGCCCCUAAACCUGCGCUCAGUUCGGAUCGAGGGCUGCAACUCGCCCUCGUGAAGCUGGAAUCCCUAGUAAUCGCGGGCCACUACCCCGCGGUGAAUACGUCCCUGCUCCUUGCACACACCGCCCGUCAAGCCACUCGAGUGGGGUCUGGAUGAGGCUCGUUCAAGUUGGGCGGAUCAAAUCCAGGUUCUGCAAGAGGGGCU
rnacentral:rRNA from 2 species